ACUUGUACCGACUGGAUGAGCAGCGAACGGGUGAGUAACGCGUGGGGAAUCUGCCUUUGAGCGGGGGACAACAUUUGGAAACGAAUGCUAAUACCGCAUAAAAACUUUAAACACAAGUUUUAAGUUUGAAAGAUGCAAUUGCAUCACUCAAAGAUGAUCCCGCGUUGUAUUAGCUAGUUGGUGAGGUAAAGGCUCACCAAGGCGAUGAUACAUAGCCGACCUGAGAGGGUGAUCGGCCACAUUGGGACUGAGACACGGCCCAAACUCCUACGGGAGGCAGCAGUAGGGAAUCUUCGGCAAUGGACGAAAGUCUGACCGAGCAACGCCGCGUGAGUGAAGAAGGUUUUCGGAUCGUAAAACUCUGUUGGUAGAGAAGAACGUUGGUGAGAGUGGAAAGCUCAUCAAGUGACGGUAACUACCCAGAAAGGGACGGCUAACUACGUGCCAGCAGCCGCGGUAAUACGUAGGUCCCGAGCGUUGUCCGGAUUUAUUGGGCGUAAAGCGAGCGCAGGUGGUUUAUUAAGUCUGGUGUAAAAGGCAGUGGCUCAACCAUUGUAUGCAUUGGAAACUGGUAGACUUGAGUGCAGGAGAGGAGAGUGGAAUUCCAUGUGUAGCCGG
rnacentral:rRNA from 1 species